GUGGGAGUAGCUCAGCUGGUAGAGCGUCGGACUGUGGCUCCGAAUGUCGUGGGUUCAAAUCCCAUCUCCCACCCCA
rnacentral:tRNA from 2 species